rnacentral:rRNA from 1 species
CCCUUCAUGUGUAGGAUAGGUGGGAGGCUUUGAAGCGCGUCCGCCAGUAUGUGUGGAGCCGUCCUUGAAAUACCGCCCAUGUAGUGUUGAUGAUAUAACGACGAACGCGAAUCGGGGUUGCGGACAGUACCUGGUGGGUAGUUUGACUGGGGCGGUCUCCUCCCAAAGAGUAACGGAGGAGCACGAAGGUGGGCGAAUCACGGUUGGACCUCGUGAGGAUAGUGCAAUGGCAUACGCCCGCUUGACUGCGAGACUGACACUUCGAGCAGGAGCGAAAGCAGGGCAUAGUGAUCCGGUGGUUCUGAAUGGAAGGGCCAUCGCCCAACGGAUAAAAGGCACCCCGGGGAUAACAGGCUGAUACCGCACAUGAGUUCCUAUCGACGGCG